rnacentral:lncRNA from 1 species
GGGUGUUUAUUUUCAAAUUGGAAUAUGACUGCUUUGCUUCACUUACAGUCUAUUCUGUUUAUUUCAUAAGGUUCAACAAAUGUAAUAUGUAAUGUAAUAUUAUGGUUGGAAGGUUAGAAAAGUGGGGGGGGGGUGGUAGGUUUAUUUUUUAAAGAUAUACAUGUAGAUUCUUGAAAAGAUUAUGUUUGGUCGGAGAGCCUGAUUAUAAAUAGAAUCAUUUUUUUUUUCAGAAAUUUUAUAUAUACAAGAUCGAUUAUCUAUAACUUGGGUUUAGCUUCAGAGGUUUGUAAAGGUAUAUUGCAGUUCGCUUGUCAGGGUUUUUGAUUUUUUGUCAGAUUUUCGGAAACCUCAGGUUUUAUUCAUUUGAAUACCAAAAAAAAAAAAAAUGGCAUUGACCCCCAUUUAUCUUUUUAUAAAUCUUUUACAUGUAUAAUGAUAUUAAGCAAUCUGUAAAAGUCUUAUAAAAUUCAAA